GCCGAGAUCGCAUAAUCUGGUAUUGCGCAGGUCUUGAAAACCUGUUCCCGAGAGGGUAUCUGGGUUCAAAUCCCAGUCUCGGCG
rnacentral:tRNA from 1 species